UACGUAGGGUCCGAGCGUUGUCCGGAAUUAUUGGGCGUAAAGGGCUCGUAGGCGGUUUGUCGCGUCGGGAGUGAAAACUCAGGGCUCAACCCUGAGCGUGCUUCCGAUACGGGCAGGCUAGAGUGUGGUAGGGGAGACUGGAAUUCCUGGUGUAGCGGUGAAAUGCGCAGAUAUCAGGAGGAACACCGGUGGCGAAGGCGGGUCUCUGGGCCAUUACUGACGCUGAGGAGCGAAAGCGUGGGGAGCGAACAGG
rnacentral:rRNA from 1 species